GCGAGUGUAGCGCAGCCGGCAGCGCGUGGGUUUCAUAAGCCCAAGGUCGUGAGUUCGAGCCUCACCAUUCGCA